UACUACAAUUAACUCUCAAAUCUUA
rnacentral:piRNA from 1 species